rnacentral:rRNA from 1 species
CCUACGGGAGGCAGCAGUGAGGAAUAUUGGUCAAUGGACGAGAGUCUGAACCAGCCAAGUAGCGUGAAGGAUGACUGCCCUAUGGGUUGUAAACUUCUUUUAUAUGGGAAUAAAAUGUUCCACGUGUGGGAUUUUGUAUGUACCAUAUGAAUAAGGAUCGGCUAACUACGUGCCAGCAGCCGCGGUAAUACGGAGGAUCCGAGCGUUAUCCGGAUUUAUUGGGUUUAAAGGGAGCGUAGGUGGAUUGUUAAGUCAGUUGUGAAAGUUUGCGGCUCAACCGUAAAAUUGCAGUUGAAACUGGCAGUCUUGAGUACAGUAGAGGUGGGCGGAAGUCGUGGUGUAGCGGUGAAAUGCUUAGAUAUCACGAAGAACUCCGAUUGCGAAGGCAGUUCACUGGACUGCAACUGACACUGAGGCUCGAAAGUGUGGGUAUCAAACAGGAUUAGAUACCCUUGUAGUC